CUCUUCACCUUGAGGGAAGUAAUGGCACCGGGUCCCAUCUGAUCUUUGAAGAUAAGUAGGCUCAACCCUGGUUUAUAUUUGAAUGGGAAUCCAUCAAUGAAUACCAGGAGCUGUAGGCU
rnacentral:rRNA from 11 species